AAGACAUUACUUUUGAGAAAUCUUUGACUUAAAAUGGAGUGUGACAGAAACAGCAAAAUGGCUUUCUCUAGAGAGUGAUCGCACCUGAACGGCGUCACAAACCACGAGGAGGAGCGAGGUGCUGUCUCCUGAGCACGAGGCGGGCAGGCGGCGCUGCUUGUGCAGGAGCCGCUCGCCAUCGAUGACCGUUCCCACCCCUUGUGGUGUCGGGAGGAAAAGAAGUGGG